rnacentral:tRNA from 1 species
UCCUCGUUAGUAUAGUGGACAGUAUCUCUACCUGUCACGCAGAAGACCGGGGUUUGAUUCCCCGACGGGGAG